AACAUGCUCCCUUAGAUCCACCUUUGUGGAUGUCCUUCUUAUGCUGAGCAGCGAAUAGCUGUUUCAGGUAAGAGACAUCCAACAACUUUUCUGGUUGUACAGUUGAAGGUGCUUGAGUCAUUGGCAUGUGAAAUUACUAUACCUGUAUUGGAGGCUGUUAAUGUUCUGAUGGCAGUGGCUGCAAUGUUGUUGUAUGCCAUGUUCCACUAUCAGAGCUUUGCUGACAAACGGACACU